UACGGAGGGAGCUAGCGUUGUUCGGAAUUACUGGGCGUAAAGCGCGCGUAGGCGGCUUUGUAAGUUAGAGGUGAAAGCCCGGAGCUCAACUCCGGAACUGCCUUUAAAACUGCAUCGCUUGAAUCCAGGAGAGGUGAGUGGAAUUCCGAGUGUAGAGGUGAAAUGCGUAGAUAUAGGAAGGAACACCAGUGGCGAAGGCGACCACCUGGACUGAUACUGACACUGGAGGUGCGAAAGCGUGGGGAGCAAACAGG
rnacentral:rRNA from 1 species